rnacentral:rRNA from 1 species
UCGAACGCGAAAGUGGGAGCAAUCCUGCGAGUAGAGUGGCGAACGGGUGAGUAAUGUGUGGGUAAUCUGCCUUUCAGCGGGGGAUAACCCGGCGAAAGCUGGGCUAAUACCGCGUAACAUUGUACGGUCUUCGGGUUGUACAAUCAAAGAUGGCCUCUGCUUGCAAGCUAUCGCUGAAAGAUGAGCCCGCAUCCUAUCACGCUUGUUGGUGGGGUAAUGGCCUACCAAGGCGACGACGGGUAGCCGGCCUGAGAGGGUGUCCGGCCACACUGGAACUGAGACACGGUCCAGACUCCUACGGGAGGCAGCAGUGGGGAAUUUUUCGCAAUGGGCGCAAGCCUGACGAAGCAACGCCGCGUGGAGGAUGACGGCCCUAGCGGUCUUAAACUCCUGUCUAGCGGGACGAAGCUCUUGCCGGUGAAUAAUCGGCGAGAUUGACUGUACCGCUGGAGGAAGCUCCGGCCAACUCCGUGCCAGCAGCCGCGGUAAUACGGAGGGAGCAAGCGUUACUCGGAAUUAUUGGGCGUAAAGGGCGCGUAGGCGAUUGGGAAAGUCUUGUGUGAAAGCCCAUGGCUUAACUGUGGAAGUGCACAAGAUACUUCUCAAUUUGAGUUCCGGAGAGGAAGGCAGAAUUCCCGGUGUAGCGGUGAAAUGCGUAGAUAUCGGGAGGAAUACCAGUGGCGAAGGCGGCCUUCUGGACGGAUACUGACGCUGAGGCGCGAAAGCUAGGGGAGCAAACGGGAUUAGAUACCCCGGUAGUCCUAGCCGUAAACGAUGUGCGCUUGGUGUGAGCCGGUUUUCGGUUCGUGCCGUAGUUAACGCGAUAAGCGCACCGCCUGGGGAGUACGGUCG